GACUCCCCAAAGCAGCCAAUACUCUGGACAGGUCUCCCGGCCUCAAAGUGUUUCCUACAGCCUGACUCCCCAAAGCAGCCAAUACUCUGGCCAGGU